AUAAUGAUACUCCUGUCCGGCCAUAAAGCCGAGCGUGAUCAAACCGUCGCAGCAAGUGGGGGCAGCUUGGAGAGAUCCUCGAAGAGGCAGAAAUGCCUGUG
rnacentral:ncRNA from 1 species